GUGGGGAAUAUUCCGCAAUGGACGAAAGUCUGACGGAGCAACGCCGCGUGAGUGAUGAAGGUUUUCGGACUGUAAAGCUCUGUUGUUUAGGACGAAAGUGCCUGUUGCAAACAGUUACAGGUAUUGACGGUACUAAACGAGGAAGCCACGGCUAACUACGUGCCAGCAGCCGCGGUAAUACGUAGGUGGCAAGCGUUGUCCGGAAUUAUUGGGCGUAAAGAGCAUGUAGGCGGGAAUCUAAGUCUGUUGUGAAAAUGCGGGGCUCAACCCCGUAUUGCGAUGGAAACUGGGUGUCUUGAGUGCAGGAGAGGAAAGGGGAAUUCCCAGUGUAGCGGUGAAAUGCGUAGAUAUUGGGAGGAACACCAGUGGCGAAGGCGCCUUUCUGGACUGUGUCUGACGCUGAGAUGCGAAAGCCAGGGUAGCGAACGGGAUUAGAAACCCGGGUAGUCC
rnacentral:rRNA from 1 species